AGCGGCAGGCCUAAUACAUGCAAGUCGGACGGGAUCCAGGAGCUUGCUUCUGGUGAGAGUGGCGCACGGGUGCGUAACACGUAUGUAACCUACCUCAGUCAGGGGGAUAGCCUCUCGAAAGAGAGAUUAAGACCGCAUAAAAUGGUAAUGCGGCAUCACAAAACCAUCAAAUAUUUAUAGGACUGAGACGGGCAUGCGGAACAUUAGCUGGUUGGUAAGGUAACGGCUUACCAAGGCUACGAUGUUUAGGGGAUCUGAGAGGAUGGCCCCCCACACUGGUACUGAGACACGGACCAGACUCCUACGGGAGGCAGCAGUAAGGAAUAUUGGUCAAUGGGCGCAAGCCUGAACCAGCCAUGCCGCGUGCANGAAGACCGCCCUACGGGUUGUAAACUGCUUUUGCAGGGGAAUAAACCCCCGUAUGUAUACGGGGCUGAAUGUACUCUGAGAAUAAGGAUCGGCUAACUCCGUGCCAGCAGCCGCGGUAAUACGGAGGAUCCAAGCGUUAUCCGGAUUUAUUGGGUUUAAAGGGUGCGU
rnacentral:rRNA from 1 species